UACGUAGGGUGCGAGCGUUAAUCGGAAUUACUGGGCGUAAAGCGUGCGCAGGCGGUUCGUUGUGUCUGAUGUGAAAGCCCCGGGCUUAACCUGGGAAUGGCAUUGGAAACUGGCGAGCUGGAGUGUGGCAGAGGGGGGUGGAAUUCCGCGUGUAGCAGUGAAAUGCGUAGAGAUGCGGAGGAACACCGAUGGCGAAGGCAGCCCCCUGGGCCAACACUGACGCUCAGGCACGAAAGCCAGGGGAGCGAACGGG
rnacentral:rRNA from 1 species